rnacentral:rRNA from 1 species
AACGAACGCUGGCGGCAUGCCUAACACAUGCAAGUCGAACGAGACCUUCGGGUCUAGUGGCGCACGGGUGCGUAACGCGUGGGAACCUGCCCUUAGGUUCGGAAUAACUCCCCGAAAGGGGUGCUAAUACCGGAUAAUGUCUUCGGACCAAAGAUUUAUCGCCUUUGGAUGGGCCCGCGUUGGAUUAGCUAGUUGGUAGGGUAAAAGCCUACCAAGGCGACGAUCCAUAGCUGGUCUGAGAGGAUGAUCAGCCACACUGGGACUGAGACACGGCCCAGACUCCUACGGGAGGCAGCAGUGGGGAAUAUUGGACAAUGGGCGAAAGCCUGAUCCAGCAAUGCCGCGUGAGUGAUGAAGGCCUUAGGGUUGUAAAGCUCUUUUAGCCGGGAUGAUAAUGACAGUACCGGGAGAAUAAGCACCGGCUAACUACGUG